GCCCCCGUAGCUCAGCUGGAUAGAGCAAUCGCCUCCUAAGCGAUAGGUCGCAGGUUCAAGUCCUGCCGGGGGUA
rnacentral:tRNA from 1 species